AUCCAAUAAAAUAAUAAUCUAGAGUGCUUCUCCGCCGGGCCGUCCGCGCGGCCAAGCCGGCAACCACCUCACGGCCAUUCUUCUCCCUGCCCAGUCUCUUCCCCUUUGCGAUCUUUAUCCCCCAUGCUUUACUCCCCAAUAUCGCUCUCCCAUGGUAUGAACGGCUACGGGUGAGCGAAGCGACGAGUUGUCAAAGGUUGCGAGGUACCUCCUGCUCCUUUGCUCUCAUGUGCGUCCAGUACUGGUGUGCGUCCAUCGUGAUUCCCUGGCGGCGGUGUGACGGGAGAGAAAGCAGUCAACACAGAGUGGAUCUACGAGGCGAUGCCAUUGAAUUAUAGGCAGCGGCACACGUUCCUUCCGUAGAGGCAGGGGGUUCUUCGAGGCUGUCUUGGACUCAGGGUGUGUUUGGUUCGGGAACGAAGUGGAAUGAAAUGUCAUGGUUCCAUUCCAUUAUAAUGGGUCGGUUCCGUCCUUACGUUUGGUAGAAGGAAUUCAGAGGAAUGGAAUGAUUACAUUUGGGUGUUUGGUUUA